UUAAGCGACUAAGCGUACACGGUGGAUGCCCUGGCAGUCAGAGGCGAUGAAGGACGUGCUAAUCUGCGAAAAGCGUCGGUAAGGUGAUAUGAACCGUUACAGCCGGCGAUGUCCGAAUGGGGAAACCCAGUGUGAUUCGUUGCACUAUCGUUAACUGAAUACAUAGGUUAACGAGGCGAACCGGGGGAACUGAAACAUCUAAGUACCCCGAGGAAAAGAAAUCAACCGAGAUUCCCCCAGUAGCGGCGAGCGAACGGGGAGCAGCCCAGAGUCUGAAUCAGCUUGUGUGUUAGUGGAACGGUCUGGAAAGUCCGACGGUACAGGGUGAUAGUCCCGUACACCAAAAUGCACAGGCUGUGAACUCGAAGAGUAGGGCGGGACACGUGGUAUCCUGUCUGAAUAUGGGGGGACCAUCCUCCAAGGCUAAAUACUCCUGACUGACCGAUAGUGAACCAGUACCGUGAGGGAAAGGCGAAAAGAACCCCGGCGAGGGGAGUGAAAAAGAACCUGAAACCGUGUACGUACAAGCAGUGGGAGCACCCUUUAUGGUGUGACUGCGUACCUUUUGUAUAAUGGGUCAGCGACUUAUAUUCUGUAGCAAGGUUAACCGUAUAGGGGAGCCGCAGGGAAACCGAGUCUUAACUGGGCGUUAAGUUGCAGGGUAUAGACCCGAAACCCGGUGAUCUAGCCAUGGGCAGGUUGAAGGUUGGGUAACACUAACUGGAGGACCGAACCGACUAAUGUUGAAAAAUUAGCGGAUGACUUGUGGCUGGGGGUGAAAGGCCAAUCAAACCGGGAGAUAGCUGGUUCUCCCCGAAAGCUAUUUAGGUAGCGCCUCGUGAAUUCAUCUUCGGGGGUAGAGCACUGUUUCGGCUAGGGGGUCAUCCCGACUUACCAACCCGAUGCAAACUACGAAUACCGAAGAAUGUUAUCACGGGAGACACACGGCGGGUGCUAACGUCCGUCGUGAAGAGGGAAACAACCCAGACCGCCAGCUAAGGUCCCAAAGUCACAGUUAAGUGGGAAACGAUGUGGGAAGGCACAGACAGCCAGGAUGUUGGCUUAGAAGCAGCCAUCAUUUAAAGAAAGCGUAAUAGCUCACUGGUCGAGUCGGCCUGCGCGGAAGAUGUAACGGGGCUAAACUGUGCACCGAAGCUGCGGCAGCGACACUUAGGUGUUGUUGGGUAGGGGAGCGUUCUGUAAGCCUGCGAAGGUGGCCUGUGAGGGUUGCUGGAGGUAUCAGAAGUGCGAAUGCUGACAUAAGUAACGAUAAUGCGGGUGAAAAGCCCGCACGCCGGAAGACCAAGGGUUCCUGUCCAACGUUAAUCGGGGCAGGGUGAGUCGACCCCUAAGGCGAGGCCGAAAGGCGUAGUCGAUGGGAAACAGGUUAAUAUUCCUGUACUUGGUGUUACUGCGAAGGGGGGACGGAGAAGGCUAUGUUAGCCGGGCGACGGUUGUCCCGGUUUAAGCAUGUAGGCGGAGGUUCCAGGUAAAUCCGGUACCUUUUNGAUUGACGUUACUCGCAGAAGAAGCACCGGCUAACUCCGUGCCAGCAGCCGCGGUAAUACGGAGGGUGCAAGCGUUAAUCGGAAUUACUGGGCGUAAAGCGCACGCAGGCGGUCUGUCAAGUCGGAUGUGAAAUCCCCGGGCUCAACCUGGGAACUGCAUUCGAAACUGGCAGGCUAGAGUCUUGUAGAGGGGGGUAGAAUUCCAGGUGUAGCGGUGAAAUGCGUAGAGAUCUGGAGGAAUACCGGUGGCGAAGGCGGCCCCCUGGACAAAGACUGACGCUCAGGUGCGAAAGCGUGGGGAGCAAACAGGAUUAGAUACCCUGGUAGUCCACGCCGUAAACGAUGUCGACUUGGAGGUUGUGCCCUUGAGGCGUGGCUUCCGGAGCUAACGCGUUAAGUCGACCGCCUGGGGAGUACGGCCGCAAGGUUAAAACUCAAAUGAAUUGACGGGGGCCCGCACAAGCGGUGGAGCAUGUGGUUUAAUUCGAUGCAACGCGAAGAACCUUACCUACUCUUGACAUCCAGAGAACUUAGCAGAGAUGCUUUGGUGCCUUCGGGAACUCUGAGACAGGUGCUGCAUGGCUGUCGUCAGCUCGUGUUGUGAAAUGUUGGGUUAAGUCCCGCAACGAGCGCAACCCUUAUCCUU
rnacentral:rRNA from 1 species